rnacentral:tRNA from 1 species
GGGGAUGUAGCUCAGUGGCACUGCGUCUGCCUUGCAAACGCAAGGUCCUGGGUUCAAUCCCGGUACCCCCC